CAGCCGCAGCCCGCAGCCAUCCACCUCUACGCCACAGGCCAGGCCGGAGGACGUUCAGCUGGAGGAAAGGACAACCCAACCUGGACCCCUCCAGCAGCCUGCGGAUGAUGUAGACUACGAUGACGUUAUGGCCCUGCCCCUCUGGCCCUCCGUCUACGGUCCCCAGCCUGGUGGUCUCCCACCUACUGCUUUCAAUGAAGUGGUGGCGAUGAUCAUGGCAUGGAUGACCGACUCUCCCUACAACCACGAGAUAAGAAGGAAUCUUGAUCUUCGGUUUUCCAGCGGACCGUUCGAGCAAGUCCGGCUUCUCUGCUGCUAACGCUGCUGCCGGGAUACAGCUGAGGAGGAGCUGGCUGCUAAUGCUAUGUACCGGGACACUGCUAAUGCUGCUUGCCGUGCUGCUGUAGCUCAGUCGUAACUGUAACUGAUGCUGAGACUCUACUGACUGCGUGACUGGUAGACGGUGGUGGGUGGCGCAACCGGCCAAAACACAAAUUCAAAACAUAAACAUGAUUUGCGGACUGUAAAAAUGUUUUUUAAAUGCGAAUA